rnacentral:tRNA from 1 species
CAGAUGUAGUUCAAUGGUAGAAUAUCAGCUUCCCAAGCUGACUACGCGGGUUCGAUUCCCGUCAUCUG